rnacentral:rRNA from 1 species
GAUGAACGCUAGCUACAGGCUUAACACAUGCAAGUCGCGGGGCAGCAUGGGGGUUGCUUGCCAUCCCUGAUGGCGACCGGCGCACGGGUGAGUAACGCGUAUCCAACCUGCCCUUCACCACGGGAUAACCCGGCGAAAGUCGGACUAAUACCGUAUGUUGUCCAUUGACGGCAUCCGAUUUGGACGAAAGGCUUAGCGGUGAGGGAUGGGGAUGCGUCCGAUUAGCUUGACGGCGGGGUAACGGCCCACCGUGGCUACGAUCGGUAGGGGUUCUGAGAGGAAGGUCCCCCACACUGGAACUGAGACACGGUCCAGACUCCUACGGGAGGCAGCAGUGAGGAAGAUUGGUCAAUGGGCGUAAGCCUGAACCAGCCAAGUAGCGUGCAGGAGGACGGCCCUAUGGGUUGUAAACUGCUUUUAGGCGGGGAUAAAGGGACCCACGUGUGGGUUUUUGCAGGUACCGCAUGAAUAAGGACCGGCUAAUUCCGUG